rnacentral:pre_miRNA from 1 species
AAUAACUUUAUUUUUUAGUUUUUAGAUACAAUGUUUGACUAUUCGUCUUAUUUGAAAUUUUUUCCGAUUAAAUGAUAAAACAUAAAUAAUACUUUACGCAUGACUAAUUUUUUUGAGUUUUUUUUAUAAUUUUUUCAAAUAGGACGGAUGGUUAAACGUUGAACACGUAAACC